UACGGAGGGGACUAGCGUUGUUCGGAAUUACUGGGCGUAAAGCGCGCGUAGGCGGAUUAGUAAGUCAGAGGUGAAAUCCCAGGGCUCAACCUUGGAACUGCCUUUGAUACUGCUAGUCUGGAGUUCGAGAGAGGUGAGUGGAAUUCCGAGUGUAGUGGUGAAAUUCGUAGAUAUUCGGAGGAACACCAGUGGCGAAGGCGGCUCACUGGCUCGAUACUGACGCUGAGGUGCGAAAGCUAGGGUCACGAACCGG
rnacentral:misc_RNA from 1 species